rnacentral:sRNA from 1 species
GCCGUGAUUCUUCUUUAAAACAGGCAUAGAUAACAUGUUUUUAUAAAGUCACAUUUAAUUUCUUUGGGUUCACAGACCUCAGACCAUCGUUUAUGGAUCUCUGUGUUAAGAAUUUCUGCUUAUCAAAUGAUCAUUAUGAUAGUAUUUCAAAUGUCUUUAUUUUUAUUUAAAAGAGAUAUGAUUAAGGAAAAGUUAUAAUUAAUGACUUAUUUUGUGCUUCUGUAGUAAACAGUUCAUUUGAAGAUCAUAUCCUGGAAGAUUUAUGUGGAAUGCUCUCACUUCCAUGGAUUUAUUCCCAUUCUGAUGAUGGCUGUUUAAAGUUGACCACAUUUGCCACUAAUCUUCUAACAUUAAGCUGUAGGAUUUCAGAUAGCUAUUCACCACAGGCACAAUCACGAUGUGUGUUUCUUCUGACUCUGUUUCCAAGAAGAAUAUUCCUUGAAUGGAGAACAGCAGUUUACAACUGGGCCCUGCAGAGCUCCCAUGAAGUAAUCCGGGCUAGUUGUGUUAGUGGAUUUUUUAUCUUACUGCAGCAGCAGAAUUCUUGUAACAGAGUUCCCAGGAUUCUUAUAGAUAAAGUCAAAGAUGAUUCUGACAUUGUCAAGAAAGAAUUUGCUUCUAUACUUGGUCAACUUGUCUGU